AAACAGGAUUAAGAGGAAGAGAAAACACAGAAAUAAUGGGAGAAAGGAGAAAAAUACAGAUAGAAAUAGAAGAGAAAUACAGGAAGGAGAAAGAGGCAGAGAAACACAGGUGAGGAGGAAAAGAAACAGGAAUAGGAAGAAGAGAAAACACAGGACUAAAAGGAGAAAGGAGAGAAACACAGAUGAAAUAGAAGGAGAGAAAUACAGAAGGGAGGAGAAAUAAGCAGAGAAACACAGAUGGAGGAGGAGGAAGAGGAGGAGGAGGAGGAGGAAGAGGAGGAGGAAGAAGAGGAGGAAGAGGAGAAGGAAAGGGUUGCCAGGGAGGAGUAUCGGCGGCCAGGCUGUGUGUAUCUCCUCUGGUUAGGUUGUUUUAAGCCGGCUCAGUCCUUUCCCCCUUUUUCCUUGCCUUCCCCGUUGUUUUAGGAGCAAGGAGGGAUUUGCAACCGUGGCAGGACGCGGCGAGGCUGUUUAAUAGGGAGCGCUGGAUGUGGUAAUGAAAGGAUUUUGAGUUUGGCGUAUAGGGAAAGAGGUAGGAAGGGAGGGAGGGAGAGAGGAAGGUAGGUUGUCAGGAAAAGGAAGAGGAAUAGAGGAAUGUAGUUAGGUAGGUAAUGGGAAAGGGAGAGAGGAAGGUUGGUAUAGGUAAGUUUGUAGGUAUGGAGGGAGAAAGGGAAGUGGGUAAGGAGGGAGAGAGGAAGGAAGGAAGGGAGGGAAGGAAGGAGGUAGAUGUGUUAGCAGACAAAGGGAAGACAAUUAGAACAGAAGAAGAGGAAGCAAUAGAUGAUAACAAAGUAGAACCCAAAAAACAACAACGAAAAGAAAGAAGAAAAAGAAGGAAAAGAAACAAGAAGAGGAACAAGAACAAAAACAAGAGAAGGGAAAAGUAAAAAUUAUAACGAAAUGGAAGCCAAAAAACGAAAACAAAGGAGAAAAAGAAGAGAUUGAAACCAAGAACAGGAACAAGAACCAGAAUUGCAGUAAGAGAAAGAAAAAGAUAUUCCCUCCAUCAAUACGACACAGGCGGGGUUCAAAUUCUCCUACGCCACACGAAUCGACAUAACCAGACGUGUGUUUCAGCGUGGACCUGCCCGGGCGUCACACGUGGAGUUCAGACUAUCCUACGCUUCACGAGUUAUUAAGAGACAUUUCGCCGCCUAAGAACACAUAUUUGACAAGGCUUUCGUAGGAGUUGUGGGCAUUUCCAGGGGUAGUUUUAUGACCCUGGUGGUAGUUUGACCCUUCUUCUGUACCAUGAGCCUAAGAAACACAUAUUUGACAAGGCUUUCGUAGGAGUUGUGGGCAUUUCCAGGGGUAGUUUUAUGACCCUGGUGGUAGUUUGACCCUUCUUCUGUACCAUGAGCCUAAAAAAACACUCAUUAUAACCUGAUCGAUCCCCUCUUUAACCUUUAGAAAUUGUUAAUGUGAGAAGCGAAAGUGUCUUUUAAUACCAACCUAACCUAACCUAUUAUUAUCCAGCCGGGCGUUUCAGCGUGGACUUGCCCGGUUGACACACGUGGGGUUCAAAUUUCCCCCCCACACGAGUAGACAUAACCACCCGGGCGUUUCAGCGUGGACCUCCCCGGGCGCACGUUAGCUCGCAAUGGUCCGCCUCUCAGUGACGGAUGCGAGUCAGUGGCCGCGGAAAUCGCCGUAGAGUGAGCCGGCUUGCGUUGUAAAGAGGAUUAGCAGCUGAAUGAAGAGAGGGCGAGGAGAGGAGACGAGAGGAAAGGGCCGAGUUUAGAGGAGAAUGAGGGGAUGUUUGAAUAUUGAUGGUGAUGGUGAUGGUGAUAGUGGUGGUGAUGGUGGUAGUAGUGGCAGUAGUAGUAGUAGUAGUAGUAGUAGUAGUAGUAGUAGUAAGUUGAAUGAAAAGAAGAAAAAUAAGGGUAGAAGAAGAAGAAGAAGAAGAAGAAGAAGAAGAAGAAGAAGAAGAAGAAGGAGGAGGAGGAGAAACGAAAAAGAAAGAAGGAUAAAAGGAAGAAACUAAAUAAUUAAGAAGAAAAUAGAAGAAACA